GCCGUGGUGGCCUAGCGGUUAGAGUGUAGGGCUAGGAGCUGGAAAAGACCAGGGUUCAAAUCCCGCCGUGGCC